GUUGUUUGCUAGGACAAUGGUAUCCAGUGUUCGUGAGUGAUCUAUUUCGUGAGGAAAAUGUACUUUAAACAACUACUUCAGUAUUAUGGUAAAGCGAAGUGGCACGUCUACCGGUCGAAAGCAGAACCUCCUCCAGCUACCCGUCUAGAAGAUCUUACCGCUGUAGGAAUACCUUCCACGUCGAGAGUAAUGAGUAAGGUGGAGGACCGACGGCAAGGGAUCAGAAGAGCUGCUGGAAUCGCCGAACAAAAAUCAAACCGUUCGAUUGGUUUUUCCCAAUUGAAAAAGCGGUCUUCAGAUGUUUCGCUAGAGACCAGCAUGACCACGGUGACCAAGAGCAGCAAGACAUACGACACAAACGAAACAAAAGACGAAAAGCGUAGAAAAAAGCUCACCCCCGAAGAGUUGAAAAGGGAUAGCGAAUCGCCCAAACAACAAGUGGUCCUACCUCAGAAAAAGCGAGUCCUUCCGGCGUCAGCAACAAACAGUCCGGCAAAGAAAAAUCAGAAGACAAGUUGCUACAACACCUCACCUCAGGAGGAGGCGGCUGCUGACGAAAAUUUAAUUAGAGAGACCGAAGCAGCCCUAAAGAAUUUGUCGGGCAGCUGGCCGGGCCCCCGGGGCUCCUCCUAUACCAAGCACCAAGAGGAAUCGCCCGCAUUCGAGAAUCUUUUCGAGGAAAAGAAAUCAAACCCCAAAUACUCGCCCUCGUCUAACUGUUCGUCUUCGAGUAGCGGUAGUGAGAGCGGCUGUUCCCUAAAAGACGUCAUAACCCUGCGGGAGCCGAGUGGCGAUUCAGAUAAAUCCGGCAAAGGGGAUAAGACGACGUCGACGGCUGGCAAACAGUUAAAAAUUAAACAAGAAAGCGAUCUCGAUAACCUGAUAAAAAUCGAGAACGAGUGCGCCUCGAUCCAAGCGCAAACAAAGGCGAAAAGUAAACUGAACGCAGCAACUAAAGGGUCGAAUGAGCCGCCGCCGACCCUUUCGUCCCACUACGAACCCCCCGACUUCAACGAAUUAGUCGACGACUCGUCUAACGAAUUAGAAAUUGAUAUGUCGGAAGCGAGCGGAGACAGAGACGACAGCACCACUAACGAUGACAAAUUGCACUCAUCGCCGAAAGAAAAACGAAUCGAACCGUCAAAAUCGACAAAAUACUCCUUGGAGGAAUCCGCACCAUCAGUCAAUAAUAACACCUCCCCGUUCCUUCCCUACAUCCGUUCCAAUAUAACGUCGUCCGCGUCACCUUUCUCGAGCUCUUCCGCGUUCCGACCUCCGAAUCUCGAAUCUUCGAAAAAACCACCGAUCGGGGUCAGCCCUUUGGGUCCGUAUCCCGGCGAGGCGACCUUUGUGGGCUACAGUAGCCUACCGUCGUCGUCUUCAGACAACCGCUCGCCCAUGUCGUCGCCCGAAAACAAGAAAGUUCCCUUGCCCCAACUCAAGCAAGAGAAUCUCGCAAAUAUCGACACGUCGUCGUCAUGUUCAAGCGCGGAUAACAAGUCGGUGGCGUCCCCCGAGGACGUGAACAAACAGUAUACGAUCCUGCAGCCCGCCGGCGCCGGUUCUCGGGCAGCCAGCGCUCUUCAGGAAGCCGCAAGGGACGGGGUUCAGAGCAUGUCUGCGGUCUCUAGCAGCAGCAGCAGCAGCAGCAACAGCAGCAGUAGCAGCAACAGUAGCAACUCCUCGAACGAAUCCAAAACCUCCGCGGCUGCUCCCUUCGACAGGGUUUCCGGAACUUUAUCUCCAAACAGCAUCGGCAGAGAGAGCAGUAAAUGUCCCACUCCGGGUUGCAACGGUCAGGGACACGUCACAGGCCUCUACUCCCAUCACAGGAGUUUAUCAGGAUGUCCUAGAAAAGACAAAGUUACUCCCGAAAUCCUGGCAAUGCAUGAAACAAUCCUGAAAUGUCCCACGCCUGGAUGCAACGGCCGUGGACAUGUUAGCUCGAAUCGAAACACGCACAGGAGCCUGUCAGGUUGUCCUAUUGCAGCAGCCAGCAAACAGGCUGCACGGGAACAGAAAUAUCAUGCGUCACUACAACACAGAAUUCGAUCGUCGCCGAAUUCGUCGCUUGUGAACUGCCAAGGCGACUUCGCCCAAUCGGGAUUCGAGAGUAAACAAAAUCCCGUUUCCGCAAACGUUGACAUAAAGCCCUCUUAUCUGGCUUCUUACGAAACAGCAAGCGGAAGUCAAAGCAUUUCGUGUAACAACACCAAAACGGACUUCGGCUCUUAUUAUUCGAAACUCCAAGAGGGUAAAAGUGAUACCGGAAUGAAGAUUCCCAAAUCAGAAUCCGUCACCGCAAACUGCUGCAGCAUGCCAGGAAGAAAUGACCUUCUAAUACCAAAAACGGAAACUUCAAACUCCUGCGCAUCUCCAUCGGGAAUUCGAUCCUACGAUCCCUACACGAACCAAGAUUCGAAUUCCUCUUCAAUGUCUGGAAUGGAAAAUGUUACCAGUACUCGCGGCCAUCAUCAUUCAAUGCAACCGCCAUCUUUGCACCAUCAAAAUCCGCAUUCGUCUAGCUAUAGCCUCGAUGAAACACGUCAGUUACCUCAUCGGUCACCUUAUCAACAGUCGCCCAUGUCUGGCGAUGAACUGUACAGAUCUGACCAUUCCAUGAGAUACACUGAAAUCGGCGAUUCCAUAAGCGGUGGAAUAGCAAGGCCCACGGUGACGUACCCAAGUGAGAUGGGAUCACGACCAUACGACAGUUCCCUCACAAGCCACCGUCCGUACGAUCCAGGGACGGCAUUUGAAAGGUACGAUUCGUCGAACCAAUGUAACACUCUGCAACAGCCCAUGCCGCAAAGAGCUCAAGGAAUUUACGGCUACGGAUCGAUAGAAAACCAACAAGAGCAUAGGUACCAGCAAGAAACUGGCACUUCUCUGUCUCUGGGUGGUUCCGGUGCGGUUAUGAAAACGGAAGACCAAGAACCCACGCAACCUCUGUAUCCAAGACCAAUGUACCAGUACGACGCAUCUGCAGGUCCCAUUCCGAUGGGGUUUUCCGCUAUUAAUUUGUCAGUAAAGUGCGUUACGACAGCCCAGAGUCAACUCAAAGGCGGAGGACCUCACACGUCUCCAGGAGGAACCGUCAUGGACUUGUCCACAUCCAGCGUUACCACCAGCAGUUCUCAGGUGGCGUACAACUCCUCGUACGGAGGCCAGCAGCGGAUGGGAGGAAGCCCGCGAGCUGCCGCCAGUCCCCACUUGUCCUCCGCCAGUCCCCAGGUGCCCAGCCCACAAGGCCAAACGCUAGACCUCAGCGUCAGUCGACUGUCCCACAGUAGCGGUACUAGUCCAUCUCGAUAUCAUAACGGUCACGGCGAGCCGGUACCGGUACAACAGGGUUUCGUAGGACCGCGGGGCGAACAAACAGAACCCGUCGACUUCAGCGCCGCUAAUGAACCGGUUAAUUUCAGCGGAGUCCGUCCAGUUGCCACCUUUGCUGCUGGACCAGUUAUCGGACCGCCACCCGGAUCCGGUUACAGCAGGGAAUCCACGCCAGACAGUGGAGGAUCUCACUACAUGGACCCUUACAGAGACCCUUCCGGAUACGGCCCUGUUAGUCCACAUCCUGGAUAUGGAAUGACGCCUGUAACAACGGAUUAUCCAACGAAUCCUUACACCUCGUAUCCCGGAACUGGAUACUCCUGUGGCGGCACUUAUCCAGGAGCGGUGACCACGGGAUACCCUGCUCCACCGAGUGGCUACUCACCAGGUCCAUGCUACUCCAUGCCUCCACCUCAACAUUCGUUACCUCAACACGAUAAAGUGUCAGGCAAAGACAAUGGUUUGUCGGGUUGUCCGAGGGCAGAUCGCUCUCAAAUACAGACACACUCACAAGAAUUGAAAUGUCCCACCCCUGGAUGUGACGGAUCCGGUCACGUAACAGGAAAUUAUUCAUCUCAUCGGAGCCUGUCAGGAUGUCCAAGGGCCAACAAGCCAAAAAGUAAACCGAGAGAUGGACAGGACUCUGAACCUUUACGACCAUAAACUAAAAUUUAUGUUAUGCCUACAUUCCCUGCCAUCCCGCUAACUAUUGUACUUAUAUAAGUAAGUGCUUCUGGUUGUCCAAUCGCCAACCG
rnacentral:misc_RNA from 1 species